rnacentral:rRNA from 1 species
UUUGAAAGACCUACUUGGAUUCCCUCAGUAACGGCGAGUGAAGAGGGAUUAGCCCAGCACCGAAACCCGUAGUCGAUUGGCUACAAGGUAAUGUGGUGUUUAGAUUGAUUCUUGGUACUAUUGGCCCAUUCUAAGUCCAGCAAUGAGUACGGCUCUUGGAUCGGCCCAAAGAGGGUGAAAGGCCCGUGUGAGUGGAGCUAGUAGUGCCCUGAGUUUUUCUUGGAGUCGGGUUGUUUGUGAAUGCAGCCCAAAGCAGGUGGUAAACUCCAUCUAAGGCUAAAUACUGACACGAGUCCGAUAGCGAACAAGUACCGUGAGGGAAAGUUGAAAAGUACUUUGAAGAGAGAGUAAACAGUGCGUGAAACCGCUCAGAGGUAAACGGGUGGAGUUGAACUGGAAACCUAGAGAAUACAGCGAUGAGUAUGGUUUGUGCUAGGGCAUCGGGGUUGGUGCUCGGGGUACAUCGUUUGCAGGCAUGGUGCACUUAACAUGUGCCGUGCGCUCCGGGUAUGCCGACCUGCUUAUUGUCUGGAUUUCUCCUGGUAUUCACCACGACCGCAUUUUAAUGGUCUGUUGUAGCCGAACCGUUCAGGUUUGUUCUUUUUGAUCAGGCUUGGACGGUAUGACAGGUGGCCUGUCGAUCCGCAAGGUUUGAUCGGUGUAAUUAGUUGGUUAUGACAGAUAUCAUGAAGAAUGCAGGAGACGGCGGUGGUACGUGUGCCUUCUGGCAGGCAUGGUCGAGUUUGGUAGGCAUCUACUUAUAUUAACGGUGUGUCUAUGGCUCGGUUAUGUUAUGUUGGUGGUGGCAUGUGCUUAUGGCCCAUAGUCUGUGGUGUAGUUGUAGAUUUUCCACCCGACCCGUCUUGAAACACGGACCAAGGAGUUUAACAUGUGCGCGAGUCAUUGGGCAUUACGAAACCCAAAGGCGUAGUGAAAAUGAAGGCUUUUUAAGCUGAGGCGAGAUCCUGCCGUUUCCUCUGCGUAUACUACCUAGCAUUAGAGCGGUGGGCGCAUCGUCAGCCCGUCUCUAGACGUAGCCAUAUAGUCUUGUACUGUGUGCACCGUCGGGGCGGAGCUAGAGCGUAUAUGUUGAGACCCGAAAGAUGGUGAACUAUGCUUGCAAAAGUUGAAGCCAGAGGAAACUCUGGUGGAGGACUGUAGCGAUUCUGACGUGCAAAUCGAUCGUCUGAUGUGAGUAUAGGGGCGAAAGACUAAUCGAACCAUCUAGUAGCU